AAACUAAAACAAACACAUGAAGAAGAAAAAAUACAAUCGUUGGAAAGUUUACUAAAAGUAUUACGAAAGAAAAAUUUUCUUGACGAAGAAGCAAGUGAAUUUGUUGAGAGAGAUUUUUGUCCAGUCCGGAAGAGUACUUGUUUAACAAUGAGCGGCUUAGUGAGGACAGGAAUGAUGAAGAUUGCCAAUAUAGUGAUUACAUUAAACAGUUUGCUGCAACAUUAUUUUUUUACUCACCGAAAGGCUACAAUUAUUGCAAAUCUAUUCUUCAUUUGCCACAUGAAAGUAUCAUCAGAAAUUGGACUUUGUCUUGUAGUGCAGAGCCUGGUUUUCUG